GCUCUGCUCUUAAGACGCGUGUCUGCCGACGCUCCUGGCCGAAUAAAAAACCUCUUCCUUCUUUAAUCCGGUGUCCGAGGAGUUUUGUGUGCGACUCGUCCUGCUACAUUUCUUGGUUACAAAAACCUCUUCCUUCUUUAAUCCGGUGUCCGAGGAGUUUUGUCUGCGACUCGUCCUGCUACAUUUCUUGGUUACAAAAACCUCUUCCUUCUUUAAUCCGGUGUCUGAGGAGUUUUGUUUGCGACUCGUCCUGCUACAUUUCUUGGUUCCGUGACCGGGAAGCGAGGUGAUUGAAGGACGGUCGAGGCAGCCCCUUAGGCUGCUUAGGCCUGCCCUGUGGAGCGUCCCUGCAAGGGACUCUGGCCAGCUUGAGCGACGGGCAUCCUGAGAGCGCUCCCGGGUAGGCAAUUGCCCUGGUGGAACACCUCGUCAGAGCAGUGUGUGGCAGGCCCCCGCGGAGGAUCAACGUGGUGGCUGAACACCGGGAAGGAACUGGCACUAGAAGUCUGGACGUCUGAAACUUGAAACUCAUUAAUCUUCAAAGGCUUCAAGAGUGGCACAGAUGAAUCCAAUAUUCCUAUAUGACCUACUUUACUGAACUGGAAAAACUGCAUGCUGACAGCACAAAUGAUCUGUAAGAAGAGAUGCAGGUUGUAUAUGUCAGCCUCGCAGAGAACUCUUUCCAAAUACCACUGGGAGAACCAGAGCAACAUGACAACUCCACAGUAUAGCCCAAAAUACUG
rnacentral:lncRNA from 10 species